rnacentral:rRNA from 1 species
AACGCGAAGAACCUUACCUGGGCUUGAACCGCUACUGACCAAGGGUAGAAAUAUCCUCUUCCCGCAAGGGACAGUAGUAGAGGUGCUGCAUGGCUGUCGUCAGCUCGUGCCGUGAGGUGUUGGGUUAAGUCCCGCAACGAGCGCAACCCUUAUUCGUAGUUGCCACCCGCAAGGGGGAACUCUACGAGGACUGCUCCGGAUAACGGAGAGGAAGGUGGGGAUGACGUCAAGUCAGCACGGCCUUUAUGUCCAGGGCUACACACGUGUUACAAUGCACGGUACAGACUGUUGCGAACCCGCGAGGGGGAGCUAAUCGGAUAAAACCGUGCUCAGUUCGGAUUGCAGUCUGCAACUCGCCUGCAUGAAGUCGGAAUCGCUAGUAAAUGCCGAUCAGCACGCGGCAUUGAAUACGUUCCCGGGCCUUGUACACACCGCUCGCGA